GACGAACGCUGGCGGCGUGCUUAACACAUGCAAGUCGAACGGAAAGGCGCUGCUUUUGUGGGGUGCCCGAGUGGCGAACGGGGGAGUAACAAGUGAGUAACCUGCCCUUGACGGGGGGACAACUUCAGGAAACUGGGGCCAAUACCGGAUAGGAGCUCCUGCUGCAUGGUGGGGGAUGGAAAGAGUCGGCGGUUGGGGGUGGGCUGGCGGCUUAUCAGCUUGUUGGGGGGGUUGUGGCCUACCCAGGCGAUGGCGGGUAGCCGGCCUGGGGGGGUGGCCGGCCCCAUUGGGGCUUGGGUACGGCCCCUACCCCUUCCGGGGGGAGGAGGUGGGAAUUUUGCGCAAUGGGCGGCAGCCUGGUGCAGCAACGCCGCGUGCGGCAUAGCGGCCUUCGGGUUGUAAACCGCUUUCGCCUGUGGCGAAGCGUGGGUGCCGGUCCUGCAGAAGGAGGCACCGGCAAAUUCGGU
rnacentral:rRNA from 1 species